AUAUCAAUAAGCGGAGGAAAAGAAACCAACAGGGAUUGCCCUAGUAACGGCGAGUGAAGCGGCAACAGCUCAAAUUUGAAAUCUGGCCUUCGGGUCCGAAUUGUAAUUUGUAGAGGAUGCUUUUGGUGCGGUACCUUUCGAGUUCCCUGGAACGGGACGCCUUAGAGGGUGAGAGCCCCGUACGAUUGGAUACCAAGCCUCUGUAUAGCUCCUUCGACGAGUCGAGUAGUUUGGGAAUGCUGCUCUAAAUGGGAGGUAAAUUUCUUCUAAAGCUAAAUACCGGCCAGAGACCGAUAGCGCACAAGUA
rnacentral:rRNA from 1 species